AGGUCCAAGUCUAAAGAUAAAAGCAACAAACUGCAUUAUGUCUAAAUACAAUUAAAAAAAUACCAAAGAAAAACAGAAGACAAAAGAAAAAGAAACCUGAAAGGCUGCCCCAUAAGGAGCCGAUGGAAGUUGAAAAUCCCAAAGCCAAAUUCGAUGAGCUUGUAAGCACGACAAUGGAGAGAAAAGAAGACACAACAAGGACAAGUAGAGAGAUAUGAUAGUUCAAGCCCAAGGCAUGCGACGAAAUUAAGGUAGAUGAGCGUUUGACCCCUCGUCCGUAGCCACCGCACUUUCCACCUGAAACGGAACCUCAUCAACCAAAAAAGGUCCGAUGUCCAGCGAAAUUCCAAUGCCGCGAGUAGGUGAGCAACCCAAUUCUGCUCUUUGAAGCAAUGGCAGACUGUAACUGCUGCAAAAAGGUAAUUAAUCGUAACCUCCCCUCUGUAACCAAUGCCCAGAUAUCUGACCAAUCAGCCUGUGUGCUAUUGAGUUUGCGAAUCACAUGCAGAGAGUCCUCUUCAAACAUGACCCGAGAUAGACCAAGGUCUCGAGCGAAUUCCAAUGCCGACAAGAGAGCCAACGCUUCUGCAACAAAAGCUGACGAGACCUAAACAUGGCUUUGGGCAUCCUGUACCACAACCCCCGAGCAAGAAGAGUGUGACUCUCCUCUAUAUGUAGCAUCGAAGUUGGCCUUAACCAGAGGCGCGGCCUGAGGAUGCGAGUGUGCAGUACGCAAAACCCCCUGAAUUGCUUCUGUAACGGCCAACACCGAUAGGCCAACCAUGUAGGAUCGAAUAAAGGAGACCAACUUAAGAGACGUCCAACCAAGGCCCUCAUGAUAGUACCUAUUGCGUGACCACCAUAGUGCCCAAAUCGUGGUACCAGCCCAGGAUACAAGAAGCCAAUUCCAAAUCGAAAUGGCAAAAGGGCAGUUCGAAGCACGUGAGUAGGCGUCUCAGGUAUAUUUAGGCAUCUAGGGUAGAAGUGCGUGGUAGAGAUGUAUCGACUGUAAAGGUUGUGAAAUGUGGGUACAUAAUUGCAAAGGAAUCUCCAAACUGUUAUGUGAACUUUAGGAGGGACCCAAACCUUCCAAAUCGUUGUAAACAAAUCACAUGAACUCUGUAGGUUAGAAGGACUAUAGGGAAUAGAGAUUUGUUGCAUAGGCCAAUGAAGCAACCUAUAACCACUAUGGACAGGGUAACAAACCUGUCGGGUCCCAUAAAUUCAUAUUAAGGACUGUAAAAGUAUUUUUAUGCUAAUUUUAAAUGAAGUAGCGAGAAGUAAGUCAUUUUACUAA